GAUGAACGCUGGCGGCGUGCCUAAUACAUGCAAGUCGAGCGAACAGACGAGGAGCUUGCUCCUCUGACGUUAGCGGCGGACGGGUGAGUAACACGUGGAUAACCUACCUAUAAGACUGGGAUAACUUCGGGAAACCGGAGCUAAUACCGGAUAAUAUAUUGAACCGCAUGGUUCAAUAGUGAAAGACGGUUUUGCUGUCACUUAUAGAUGGAUCCGCGCCGCAUUAGCUAGUUGGUAAGGUAACGGCUUACCAAGGCAACGAUGCGUAGCCGACCUGAGAGGGUGAAUCGCCACCCCUGGACCUAGGCCCCGUCCCGACUCCUACGGGAAGGCACCGUAGGGAAUCCUCCCCAAAGGGCCGAAACCUUACGGAGCAACGCCGGCUGAGUUAUGAAGGUCUUCCGAUUGUAAAACCUUUUUAUUAGGGAAGAACAAAUUUUUAAGUAACUAUGCACGUCUUGACGGUACCUAAUCAGAAAGCCACGGCUAACUACGUG
rnacentral:rRNA from 1 species